rnacentral:rRNA from 1 species
UACGAAGGGUGCAAGCGUUACUCGGAAUUACUGGGCGUAAAGUGUGCGUAGGCGGUUUGUUAAGUCCGCUGUGAAAGCCCUGGGCUCAACCUGGGAAUUGCAGUGGAUACUGGCAAGCUAGAGUGCGGUAGAGGAUGGUGGAAUUCCCGGUGUAGCGGUGAAAUGCGUAGAUAUCGAGAGGAACACCUGCGGCGAAGGCGGGUUGCUGGGCUGACACUGACGCUGAAGCGCGAAAGCUAGGGGAGCGAACGGG